rnacentral:sRNA from 1 species
GCUGGGUGUGGUGGCGCAUGCCCGUAAUCCCAGCAGCUCAGGAGGCUGAGGCAGGAGGAUCACAAGUUCAAAGCCAGCCUCAGCAAAAUCAGGGUGCUAAGCAACUCAGUGAGACCCUGUCUCUC